rnacentral:sRNA from 1 species
GAAAGUUUUCACUGCAUCUCUUGUGGGAUACGUACAAUGUUUGGCAGAUGAUACUUUUAAAUGACAAUAACAAUAGUUAUUUUUCAGAGAGAGGAAUCAAGAUAGCCCUGCAAAUUCAGUGUAGUUGUUAAUUCUCUGUAUUCUUAUUAACAAGAUUCCUUUAUUCAUUUAUUUAUCAAAUAGUUAUCGAGGGCCUUAUAUACCAUACAUCAAUUUAGGUGUUUAGGAUACAUUAGAGUUAAAAAAAGACAAAAAUCCCUGCCCUCGUCAACUUAAAUUUUAGUGAGGGAAACAAUACAUAAUAAACAUAAUAAAUAGUAAAUGACAUGGUAUGUAGGAAAGUGAUAAGUGUUAUGGGAAAAUCAGAGGGAAAGGGGGUUAGUGAAUGCUGAGGGAAUGUGAGUUGCCAUUGAAAUGGAGUGGUUAGUAUAUGCUUCAUUAAGAAGGUGUCAUAUGAAUAAAGACUUUGAAAGAGAUGUAUGAGUUACCAACUGCUACAUAAAAAACUACCCCAAAACUCAGUGGCUUAAAACAAUUAAACAUUUGUUCACUCGUGAAUCAGUAGAUCUGUUAGUUCUUAGUCUGAGCCAGGCUUGUUUUUUCUCUAUAGGGCUUGCUCACACAGUUAUGGUUAGCUACAGGUUAGCUGGUGGCUGGCUUUGCUAAUCUUGGCUGGGUUCUUUCUUAUGUAUGAAGUCCCAGCUGGGACAACUUGACUCAGCCUCAUAUGAUCUUUAAUAAUCCUUCAGUAAACUAGCCUGGACCUGUUCUCUUGGCACAAUAGAAUCUCCUGAGGUUUGGGCUCAGAACCAGCACAAUGUUACUUCGUUAUAUUCUGUUGCUCACAGAAAGUCACAAGGCAAGUCCAGAUUCAUAGGCUGGGGAAAUAGACUUGAUCUCUUGAUGAAAAAGCUGCAAAGUCACAUUGCAAAAGGCUGUAGAUACUGAGGGGGACAGCCAUUUUUGCUGUCUUCCACAGAAGGCAAGGGAGUAAGCCUUGUGGGUGUAUGGUGCUGGAAGGGAUGGGUGAAGAGUGGAGGAGGUGGCAGAGUAUUCCAGGUAGAGAGAAUACUCUGUGCAGAGGCUCUGUGAGAGUGUACUGGUGUUAGAAGAACAGAGGCUAGAGUGUCUCAAAUGGAGUAAGUGAGGAGAGAGUUGUAGGAGAUGAAACCAGGGAGAAACAAGGACAAAAUCAGGAAGAGGUUUCUUUUUGCCAUAAUUAGGACUUGGGCUUUUGAUCAGAGAAAUGAGGUUUCCCCCUUGUUUUUUGUGAGUUUUAUUCUCCAUAUAUAAGGUCAAGAUUUUAUCUUAAUCUUUCAUUUUCAGCAGUUUGACUGUGUGUCUAGGUAGUUUUUGUUUUUGUUGUUGAUGCUGUUGCCUGGGUUUUUUUGUUUUUUGGUAUUAAUCCUGCUUGGGGUUCUCUGAGCUUCUUGGAUAUGUGGCUUGUUGCCUUUCAUUAUUUUUAGGAAAUCCUCUGCCUUAUUUCUUCAAAUAUUUCUUCUGCCCUCUUUCUUCUUCUUCCACUUGUAUGGUACCUGACAUCUCUUCCUUUUCUGCUCCACCACAGGUAAGCCAGUGCUUGCAUCUCUUCUCUCCUCGGAAAGAUCUGUCUUUCCUUGGAUUUUAAGCUUAUAGUUGCCCUGUAACCCCAGCUCUGAUGGGAUCAAGAAAAGUUAUGAUUUUGUAGUUCAUUAACUUUUUCUUAUUGUUAGGAAAGGAGCAAUAUUCUCCCCACUCUGCUCCAUUAGAGGGUUUUGAGUAGAAGGCAGGACAUAAUCUGAUUUAUAUUUUAACAAGAGCAGUUAGGUUACUGUAUUGAAAGUAGGUAGAAGGCAGGGUUGGCUCUAACGAAUUUGAAUGAGGAGCCUCAGCACUUUUCGGCGCCAUUUUCGAGUGAUGCCUGAUCUCAUCAAUCUAGCGGAAGAGACAGGAUAACCUAUCCAAGAGUAUAGCGCCACUAUGACUCCACCAGAAAAAUUACUUUAAAAAUCGCCAAAAAUUACUUGGAGCAAAGGGCAGUCGGCGGAGCUUCGCCAAGGCUGGCGCAGUCGGUUUUGACCUGUAGCAGAGAACCAAUUCUGGAGAACAGCCUCACUUCUUUGAUUGAAUACUCACAUAAUGCUUUGGAACAACAUGAGAUUAAGGUUUAAUAAUGAUAGAAUGAAGACCAUAAUAAAAGAGACCUCUACUUACCUCAGCAAUUCUUACCUUUCUUACCUAUUUGAUGAAGAUGUCUUUUGAAAGGUGUACUGCAAGGAACAAAAUGUUUGUAAAUUCUGCCUUUACCAAGGUUUCUUUUUCAAUUGAUGCCAAAGAGUUCCAAUAUUGAACAUCUUAAGUCUGUUACUUGGAGUAUGGAUUGAGUUUGGAGCUUACUCAGAGGACUACAGGAGAGUAUCCAGGAGGUGGAUAAUUACUGUACCUUCCUCAUGGAAAAAGUUUUAUUUAAAGUGUUAUUUCUCAUUGAAUACUAUCAAAAAGGAAAAAAAAAUGACCUAAACUUUUGAGAUAGAUUUGGCUCUAGUAAGUAUUUAGAUAUAUCGCUUGCAUAUCUGGGAGAAGAAAUAAGAGACUAUCAUCAAUACAUUCCCAUCUACUAAAAAAUUUUAUUUUACACAUGUCAAGGGAUUACUUAUAACUUCCAUUGUCUUUUUUUUUAAGCCUAUAUGCAAUGAAAAAUAUAUUGGCAAAAUAAAUGUUUAAACCUUUUAUGUUAAAAUUACUGUGAAAGAUGACAAGUUAGCUGCUGUUUUUGUCUACAUUAUACUGAAAUUAAAUGUUUAUAAUUUACAUUUUGGGUUUAUUUAUUUAUAAAUCAUGGAAUUUAUGCAAAAACAUGAGUAGUACAGAUUCUCUUCUAAUUCUGUAGAACUUUGAAUAAUGUGAUAUUUUUCUUAUAGUUGGACCCUUGUGUUUUGAAGAAAUGCCAACUGCUUGAAGAAUUUCCUUGUUAUUUGUAUUAUUUGCUAUAGGGUUAGAUGUUGAGAAAUUCUUCUGACAAAAAAUUUUAAGCCAGUUUUACACUAAAUAUUCCUCAGUCUGAUUAAUUUGUUAUUGGAUGUAUUCUGUAUCUUUCUUUUGUAAUUUGUAACUUUUAUCCACUUAGCACGAAUGGUUCUAUUGAAGAAAAUCUUUAGGAAGUGGUAGAAACUUUAAAUCGCCCCAUAGUUUGCCUGUUUCCACAUUUUAUUAUCUUAUAAUCUUUGGGAGUGCUUACACUUAUGGAGCUAACAUUUUCAGAGAUACAGUUUCUCAUAGUACCACUAAAACUUUUUUCCUCUUUGGACUGAAUACCUAUGAUUAUAACUAUACAGUAGUUUAAGUUUCCUUGUGAUUAGUCAAAAAUACCAUUUUAGUAUGAAGCAAUGAAGUCUAUUAUUUGUUGUCCCAUAAUUGAGAAAGCUUAGAUACACCUUUUAUUAAGAGUUUGUAAAUUCUAGCUUAGUCUACACAGAUUUUUAUAUCAAUUUGUUUGUAUUUUUAUUAAUGUCAUUUCUGGAAUUGUGAAAAUGUUAAUGUUCGACAAGCAACAUUAAAAAUAGAUUUGAAACAUU